rnacentral:rRNA from 1 species
UGGGGAAUAUUGGACAAUGGGCGCAAGCCUGAUCCAGCCAUGCCGCGUGGGUGAAGAAGGCCCUAGGGUUGUAAACCCCUUUCAGCGGGGAAGAUAAUGACGGUACCCGCAGAAGAAGCCCCGGCUAACUCCGUGCCAGCAGCCGCGGUAAUACGGAGGGGGCUAGCGUUGUUCGGAAUUACUGGGCGUAAAGCGCGCGUAGGCGGACUUUCAAGUCAGGGGUGAAAUCCCGAGGCUCAACCUCGGAACUGCCUUUGAUACUGUAAGUCUUGAGUGCGGAAGAGGAGGGUGGAAUACCCAGUGUAGAGGUGAAAUUCGUAGAUAUUGGGUGGAACACCAGUGGCGAAAGCGGCUCUCUGGUCCGGUUCUGACGCUGAGGCGCGAAAGCGUGGGGAGCAAACAGGAUUAGAUACCCCUGUAGUCC